GCGGCGGACGGGUGAGUAACACGUGGGUAACCUGCCUGUAAGACUGGGAUAACUCCGGGAAACCGGGGCUAAUACCGGAUGCUUGAUUGAACCGCAUGGUUCAAUCAUAAAAGGUGGCUUUUAGCUACCACUUACAGAUGGACCCGCGGCGCAUUAGCUAGUUGGUGAGGUAACGGCUCACCAAGGCGACGAUGCGUAGCCGACCUGAGAGGGUGAUCGGCCACACUGGGACUGAGACACGGCCCAGACUCCUACGGGAGGCAGCAGUAGGGAAUCUUCCGCAAUGGACGAAAGUCUGACGGAGCAACGCCGCGUGAGUGAUGAAGGUUUUCGGAUCGUAAAACUCUGUUGUUAGGGAAGAACAAGUACCGUUCGAAUAGGGCGGUACCUUGACGGUACCUAACCAGAAAGCCACGGCUAACUACGUGCCAGCAGCCGCGGUAAUAC
rnacentral:rRNA from 2 species